CCUACGGGAGGCAGUAGUGAGGGAUAUUGGUCAAUGGAGGAGACCCUGAACCAGCAACGCCGCGUGAGGGAAGACGGUUUUCUGAUUGUUAACCUCUGUCCUCUGUGAAGAUAAUGACGGUAGCAGAAGAGGAAGCUCCGGCUAACUACGUGCCAGCAGCCGCGGUAAUACGGAGGGAGCAAGCGUUGUCCGGAUUUACUGGGUGUAAAGGGUGCGUAGGCGGCCCUGCAAGUCAGAAGUGAAAGCCAUGGGCUUAACCCGUGAACUGCUGUUGAAACUGUAGGGCUUGAGUGAAGUAGAGGUAGGCGGAAUUCCUGGUGUAGCGGUGAAAUGCGUAGAGAUCGGGAGGAACACCAGUGGCGAAGGCGGCCUGCUGGGCUGUAACUGACGCUGAAGCACGAAAGCGUGGGUAGCAAACAGGAUUAGAUACCCUUGUAGUC
rnacentral:rRNA from 1 species